CAUCCGCUGAUUCACUCCCCAGUUGGCUGCAAUGGCCAGAGCUGUGCCUAUCUGAAGCCAGGAGCCAGGAGCUUCUUCCAGGUCUCCCAUGUGGGUGCAGGGGCUUGAGGACUUGGGCUGUCCUCCACUGCUUUCCAAGACCAUAGCAGAGAGCUGGAUAGGAAGUAGAGCAGCCAGGACUUGAACUGGUGCCCACAGAGGAUGCCAGCACUGUAGAUCGGGGCUUUAUCUGCUAUGCCGCAGCAUGGUCCCCUGUAAAAUUCCUGAGCGUUUCUUUUGGCACAAUACGUAGGUUCUGGAUAUGAACUGUACUCACCAACGUUAUCUUCUAGGUCCUCACAUCUCUGCUCUGAUUUCCUUUGUGGCUCAAGUACAUCGCAGGCAGGCGAUCCUGUCGAAUUGUCAUUUCGUUGUGUGGAGUUAGAACAUUCCCUCUUUAUCAUUUCCACUUGCAAACAUUUAAGGAACUUCACCUCUAGACCUAACGUGUCUGCAAAAUUGGCAAUUGUUUCUUCGGAUUCUGGGAAGGAAGAUGGAUGACCUGAUUUCCGGUUAUAGAGUGGAAGAAAUUGCAAACAGGUCUAACCAAUGGGCUGCCCUGUCUAAGCCCUCGUUGUUUGUGCUUUUUUUGUACACGUGAUCUGUUAUGGGCUGAGAGAGGGGAAUUAAAGUCUCCCACCACUGACGUCCUUCUGCCUGGCUGUGUUCUGGUGAUUGGGACGUGAUAUUCCCGUCGCGUGUGGACACUCGCACCUCUUCCGUCUUCAGUGCUGGUUCUGCCCUCUGUCCACACACAGGGCCACCAUCCACCAUGGUUAAGCUAAAGCUGUCUGCCCUAGUUUUAAUCUUGUCUGCUGCAUAUUAUAGUGAUUGUGGCUUUGUCUUUGCCUAAGAUAUCUUUCCACAUUCGCGGCAUCCAACACUCGAUCACUUUACAACCCAGCAAAGCAGUGCGUAACUAAAUUCACAAUCCAAUAUGGGAGUAAGUUUAGCCAAUUUACAUCAGCUGUCUCAUAUUGUAUGUCACUAUUUCUCUUUGUAUUUCUUAUGUUUCUCCUCUUUUGUUCUCAGUGUGUGUGUCUAUUUUGUUCCAUAUUUUCAUUAUUAUAAUAGCUAACUACAAUCACAGAUUGAAAUGAGGCAAGUUCAUCUCAGACAGCUCAGAGACAGUCACAUCCCAGAUCAGACCCAGCGCUGGCUCCAGACUCCGGCUUCCUGUUUGUGCAUACUCUGGGAAGCAGCAAGGGUCGGCUCAAGUAAUUGGGUUUUAUUCACCCAUGGAGGAGACCUGAAUUGAGUUCCCAAAUAAAUAGCCAAACAGGUAGAUGAUGGAUAGAUAGAUAGAUAGAUAGAUAGAUAAAAAGGAUUCAAGGGAGAGAUGGUGAAAAACAAGAACACACAAAAUCUUUGUAACUAAUGUGUUGGGGAAGAGAAUCCUACAACUGAACCAAAAGUAUUAAAAUAUUUUAAAAACAAUACAAGAAACAUCAGUAUAAGAAGACUUGGCUAUGCAGAUGGAAAUGUUUUUACAAUGUGCUCAAGAAAGAAACUUGUGUAAUAUAUAAUUUAUUUUACUGAGACUUUUAAAGACAAAUACAGAAAUACUUUACAAUAAGGUAAAGGAAAAAUCAACUUAGUUAAAGUAAAAUUAUACUGAUUGAAGGCUUUUCACAGUGACAUUUUACAUGGGCAGAUAGUGAGACAAUAUCUGUAAAAUACUCAUGGAAAUAAAAUGUUAUUCCAAGGCCACAGACCACACUUUCUAAUGAAAUGUAGAAAUUCUAGUUGCUAGGAAAUCUUCCUGGCUGCUCAAAAAAAUAAUUAGCUAACAGAAAAAAAAAUGAGAAAAGGCCACAAAUAGUGAACACCAGCUAAUGAUACAUAUGCAAAGUCUGCAAGGGUAAAGUGUAUGACAUCUGUAGUCUAUUCUGAAAUGCAUCGGGAGAUUAGAUACAUUGAUGACUACACGGAGGCAUUAGUAACUGGGUUGCUCAUUGAUAAAACAAAUGCAGCAAAUAGUGAUGGUAGAGUUUAGUUGAUGGUUAGUGAGGGUUCACUUUGCAUAUCUAUUUUCAUUAUUCAUCUGUUUAAAAUUUUCAUAAUAAAAUGGUGAAAAAUGAAUCAUAAAACCAUAGCUCUCUGCAUGUAUUCUGCUAUAGGAUUAGGCAUAAAACACCGGUGGGAAUUACAAAAUGGAAAUCUAUUGUUAUAAAUCAUGGCAAUUUAGAACUGCUAUAACUAACAAGCACUCAGAGAAGGGAGAGGUGAUAGGAGGUAGAGAGGAAUUUACAAUCAUGGACCAAAUACCGAUCAUUGAAUGGUGACAGACCAAGACUUUUAAUAAUGGUGAUAGAUAAAGACUUUUCAUAAAUGUUAGUACCAGAAGCACUAAUAGAAAAAUAACCAAGUAAGGCUGACACUGUCAGAUUGGGACACUUUGUAGUGUCCUCACUGGUGAUGGUGGUGAGUUGAGACUGUCUUUAGAAAAAGAGAAUCAAGUGUAUAAGAGGCCUUCAAAAGGUUCCUGGAAAUAUGUUAUGAAAAAACUAUGUAUGGAUUUUAAAAGUUGUUUGCAACAUAAUAAACUCUUCUUUUGAUUUCAUUUUCUCGUGAUUUUCUUAAAAAUUUGAUUUAACUUUUUCAAAUUCGGUGUUUCCUAUUCUGAAUUGUGUCUGUUUACUUUGAAUUGAUCACAACAUGAUAGACUGAAUUUUUUAAGUACCCUUUGUUGUUGUUGUUGUUGACAGGCAGAGUUAGACAGUGAGAGAGAGACAGAGAGAAAGGUCUUCCUUCCAUUGGUUCACUCCCCUAUUGGUCAUUACGUCCGGCGCACCACACUGAUCCGAAGCCAGGAGCCAGGUGCUUCUCCUGGUCUCCCAUGGGGUGCAGGGCCCAAGCACUUGGGCCAUCCUCCACUGCACUCCCUGGCCACAGCAGAGAGCUGGCCUGGAAGAGGAGCAACCAGGACAGAACUGGUGCCCCAACCGGGACUAGAACCCGGGGUGCCAGUGCUGCAGGCGGAGGAUUAGCCUAGUGAGCCACGGUGCUGGCCCUUUUUCUUUUUUUCCUGUGUUCUUACAGCUCAUUUUCCCUUUCUUUAUCUGCACUUCUUCUGCCCCUGUUUUGCGCUAUUAGAUUGCUUCAUUAAGUUGCUCUCAUGUAUGGCCGUAUCCUUUGCUGGAAUGGUCCACUGGCUGGUUGAGUGUUUAUGUCCACUGGAUCUUCCUACCCUUGUGUUGUGUUGUCUUUGUAUCAGCCCCAUGCUGGAAGGGUUGUGAUGUAUUUCUUGCCUCUCGAUGGAAGGCCUUCCUGGACCGGAACUUGCAGGAGGUUUAUCAGGGAUGGAAGCAUCCCAGACCGGAAGCCAUCACUCCCAGGCUGUGGUGAGGGACCUCCGGGGAUGCAUCCACGUCUCUGGAUGCACUGCUCUGCCGUGACUUCUCUCCAGCCAAGGCCAGCGGGUUGCAGGCUGUUCCUACUCCCUGCAGCUCUCCUCUCUACAUUUCCUUGAGCACUGGGGACAGAGUUUGUCCAGCCCUGCCUCCCUGCUGUUCUCUGCUUGUUCUCGACAAGUUCUGGAGAAUCACCCUCCAUCACCCCCAGCCCCCUGCCACCCCAACAAUGAUACCGCAGCUUGCGAGCAGCUAAGCCAUUGUGCGCUGGCCCCUCAGGAUGGUUCCCUGUUCUCUCAUGAUCACCUCCUACUUUCCCGUUUUAUUUCCUCUGUUUUCGGGCAGUUAACCUGAGUUUACGGAAUUCUCAUAGCUUUGUUUUCCAAGACGGAUAUGUCUCGAGCCUCCUCAUGAAUGACUUCCAUUUGCACAGGGUCUGUGCGUGAUUGUUUGCAGGGUCACCCUCUUACGCCUAGCAGGCUUCUUCGCUUGCCCUGUCUAGUGUCUUUAAAGUUGUUAGAUUGCUUUUUCUGUUUCAUUCAUUUAUAUGUGUAAAGGUGGGAAAAUUGGAUAAAUGAAAAUUGAGUGCUGCGGGGCAGUCUUGCCUGCAAAACCCCACAUUGCAUCCCUUUGACAAGCGUGCAGAGUGGGCAUUGUCAUCCACCCCUCACAGAUGGCAGGAGGGAUUCCGAUAGAUCGCAGGCUGGGGCAGGACCCAUGUGCUCAUACACGAGGGGGCAGAGGUUGGCACCUUCACGGAUCCAUGAUGCCGUCUUUCAGAGCUGGGCAUAAGCCUGAAUGGAAGAGAACAGUCCCUGAAUGGAAUGAAAGCGUUGACAUUUGAAACAGAUUAGAGAAAGCAGAAAAUUGCCCUUAUUUAUCAGUGCAGCCUUGGCCAGGCUGACAGACUGUCUAAUUGGCUCAUAUAUAUCUUUCUGUUUCAGGGCACGAUUCUGCUCAUUAGCGUGCGAUUCUCUUGCUCCUAGCAAGGCAGGGACUGGGGACACAGGCUUGGACCCUGUUCCCACGUUGAGCCCUGCUGGACAGCACAGUGGCUUUUGUGUUAUAUGGAUAACCCAAGCCGAGGACUCAUCCCAGCCCUUCACUGUACUUACUCUUGAUGGAUGCCCUUGCCAGUCCAAGGAGCAAGGCUUUUACUGCUGCUCUGUCUGUCAGCAGCACUCAGUUCACCUCCUGUUCAUUUCAGUCGCAAUGAUCUUGCAGGAGGGUGAGGACUGUGCGCUCUCUGCACAACCUCACUGCUUCCAGCAGGUUAGGGUGCUGUAUAAGUGGCUCUAAUUGAGCGUUAUCUGCUUUCUUAAAUAAGUGUCUUUAAAUUGAGCGUGAUAGCUGUUGCACUCUCGAUGGUCCGCUUGGUUUUUCUCUCGUCAUCAGCUGCACCCAGCUAGUACAAACAAGAUCCCGAUAGACAUUAAAGCUCUCGUCCCAAAGCAGUGGGUUAGGACCUGGGCCGUGGUCCCCACGGAGGCCUGGGAAAAGGUUGGGGCAGCUGACGCAUGGUGAAGUGUUCUCGAGGAGUGGGAAGGAGGACAACCAUUCUGUGGAUGCAGGCAUUUUCUGUACAGGGGAGGUGGAAACAUUUGCCAGCCGCAGUACCGCAUCUCAGAACCGCAGCCAUCAGCUUGGCAGCAUGACCUUUUCUGGCGCAUCAUGCCGUGGGCUUUGCUGUCACGCUAAGACAGCAUGACAGGACCGUGCACUGCCUCCUCAGUAGAUUUCCCCGUCCUUAGCUUCACAGACAGGCUGCCAGGGAGUGUAGCACGUAGCAGUCCUGUGAGCUCAGAAAUCACAGCGCAAACUACACUUCAGGCUUUAUCUUAUGCACAUAUAUGCAUGAGUACAUGUGUGUAUACACACACACACACACGCACACAUGCACGCAUGCACAUGACCUCGCCUUUGAAGUAAGAGACCAGAGAGGCUGUCACGUUUCUGUCUAGCAUCAGGGAAGGACAGAUUGGAAGUGUCAGGACUCGUCAUUCUGAAUUUAACGUGGAAUUAUCUAAUUAUAUUCGAUUCAACAACUAAUGUAGAAACUACUAAUUCCAGCCCCAGCCAGCACUUUGCAGAUUUCCCCUGUUUUCCUGUGUAGAAUAUGAUACUUGGCACAAAUCCUAGAUCAGACUUCCUCUGCAGCUGUGUUGCAAAGCGAUCGCCCUGGUAGGAAAUUGGUUGUAUCAUGCGUUGGAAGAAGCAAAGGAGACACUGACAUUCCCAGUGUCUUCGUUUCAGCCAGAAGAAUUCUCACAGACACUAAUCCCUGUAUCCUUGGAGCACCCCACUGUGUGCCAGAGAUGGGAUGCCCUGUUGUGUGCUCAGUGUAAACAAAAUCUAAAUGGUUGCUGUACCCCAAUAGCCAGCUAAUACAUUUUGUAUCGGACUAACUGUUGGAACUCAUUGUCCAAUAUAAAGUGUUGACUUUGAAAAAAGCCUGCAUGUGAUGUCACUCUGGUUAAUAUCAUGACUUCUGCAAAUAGACUCGUCCCUCAGUAACAAUGGGGGGUGGUUCCAGGACCCCUAAAGGUCUCCACUCCACAGGUGCUCACGUUCCUCCCAUAAAACAGAGUUGUGUUUGCACAGAACGGUCACACAUUCUAUUGUUCCACUCAGGCUCCCUAGUAUAGAGCAUUCCGAUGGCAGAAACAGCUGUUUUAUUGUUUAGGAAAUAAUGCAGCAAUGUGUACAUGUUCAGUCCAGACACAAUUGUUUUCUGAAUGGCUUUGAUCCGUGAUUGGUUGAAUUCUCAGGUGCAGGACCCACAGACAUGGAGCACUGGCUGUAUCCUAACCGUGUGCGUGUCUGUGUGCACGCAACUUCCCAAGCAGCUGUGUAAGGCAAUAGCAGUUUGGAAACCAGCUAUGAAUACUGGAUUUUUAUUCCAGAGCUCAUGCUGAUGCAUUAGUGGGGUGUUCCCCAGGGACCCCCUUCUCUUUCUGUAUAGUGGGGUGUUCCCCAGGUACCCCCUUCUCUUUCUGUAUAGUGGGGUGUUCCCCAGGUACCCCCUUCUCUUUCUGUAUAGUGGGGUGUUCCCCAGGUACCCCCUUCUCUUGCUGUAUUUACAUAGCUCCCUGGUUGCAUUUUCCCCGUAUUUUAAUCGUCUGGGUUGUGUGUGUUUGUGUGUGUAUGAGGCAGAAUGUUCAUUUUAUUUCUGAGGUUGGCCCAGUGGGUCUUUCUGGGUCUCAGCAUCUUGGGCUGGUUAGUUAGUGUCUUCCAGCAGUGACAGCUGCCGUGGAGGGGCCUUGCUGUCAUCGCUAGUGUUCAUGGCAAAGCGGUAGCUCCUUGUUGAAUAUUGCAUUUGUGUCAACAACCCCAAGAGUUUCUGUUACGCACGCAUCAUGUUGCUACCCUGAAAUUCUAACCACAGUGAUGCAUUUGUCUACUCCCAUGCAGUCCAGGACGUGUUCUGGAAACAGCUAUAACUAAAUUACUAUCAUUAUUGUGCUUUGCCACACUGAUGUUUGAAGCAAUUGAGAAUGCAAUUUUAAUUUAAUUUAUUCUGACAAGUAUGUAUGGCUUGUUCAGACUUAAUAUGAUACAAGUCACACACGCACACUCACAUGUGAUCCCUGUGAGCACACCGCACGGGUCUGGAACCGAGAAGCGCUCAAUUACCUCACGUGUUUGAUGUGGAAAUUCCUUCACCAUCCCGAAUCCGCUGCCUUUCACAUAUUGCUAACACAGCCCCGCUAAUCUCUUUAGAAAGAUUUAUGUUGCUUUCAAAGAGAAGGGAUUUCUGAGCCAGCAAGGAUGCCGUGGGGCGCUAGACCACAGCAGCAAGCGCUUUCCUCCCAUUGCAAUUCUGCCUGCUUGCUCCUGAAAACCCCGGAGCCUGCCCGUCUCACACCCUGGCCUGCUUGGCCUCACCUUGGGCAGUAAGAGGAGACCUGAAUUCCCGUGGGGCAGAGACCUUGGAGACCUUGGAGGCUGAGGUCCAGCGCCCACAGAGGAUUUGCUGGUAUCCCGGAAGCCUCAGCCUUCCCACCUCUAAAGCCAAUGGAGCAGAAGGGAAGCACGCGGAGUCGUUAGUUGGCCUGGCCGUAGAGGAUGCGGCAUCCAGAGCUUCCGCCAUGGAGUGGCCCAGCCAGCUGGCCGGACACCCACUCAUGGGGCCAGAUCUACAAAGGAAAGGCGGGUGACACCCCAAGAGGGUCAAAGUUCAUGAGAUGCUGCUACUGAACAUUACUGCUUAGCUUGUCUUAAACAGGCUCGGAACACAGACAUUCGGCUCCAGUCGGACAAAAUCAUCAAGCAACGCCUAUUUUUUUUUAAAGAUUUACUUCAUUUUAUUUGAAAGACAGAGUUACAGAGAGAGGUAGAGACAGAGAGAAGUCUUGCAUCUGCUGGUUCACUCCCCACGUGGUCGCAACGGCUAGAGCUGCGCCGAUCCAAAGCCAGGAGCCAGGAGCUUCUUCUGGGUCUCCCAUGUGGGUACAGGGCCCCAAGGACUUGGGCCAUCUUCUCCUGCUAUCUCUGGCCACAGCAGAGAGCUGGAUCAGAAGUGGAGCAGCUGGGACUCAAACCGGCGCCCAUAUGGGAUGCCGGCACCUCAGGCCAGGGCUUUAACACGCUGCACCACAGCGCCGGCCCCGCGAAGCCUAUUUUAUGAUAAAGAGAUGACUAUCUCAUGUAACUUAUUGAAUGCAACGCUGAAAGUGGAAAAAUGCGAUGGUUUCAUGGGAAUGUUUUUGCAGCGUUUUAAAGUUGAAAAUCAUAGGUUGUAACAUCCUGAGGCGGGACCAUUAAUAUUGUGACUGAUUCACCAUUGAAUAAAAAUCAGGCUGAAAUUAAACACAUAAUCAUUCAAAUUCCCAUUAGGGAAGAUAAACCUUUAAGAAGUUUAAGACAGGUUGUUUCAUCAAAGAAGGCGUUAACUCUACUGAGUACCUCCACUCCGUGCUUUUGUGUCCUUUGUGUGUUAGACAAAAACUGCCAACAAAAGAUAGGCACGUGUUUAGAUGAUGCAGUAAAACCAUCUUUAAAAACAUCUUUUCAAUUGCUGUUUAGACCACAGCAUUAAACAACACAUCCUAGAUGACUUGUCAAGUCACUUAUUGUGGCUACGCGUGAAGAUCCAUGGCGCAUGGAACAUUGUUCCGAUUCCUAGAAGGUGAGUGUGGUGACAUGAUGCUUUCUUUUCUGUCUAGGAUUUCUGAGACAUGAGACUGCAGAUCAGUACAAUGAAUGUGUGAUUUGACAUUGUGGAGUGCACAAUUUAUAUAGGUGGGGGAAAUUCUGAAAAGUAAUUAUGCCUAUAAAGAUAGUAUCGGAGGUGGAUUAUGACCCCUCACUGACGCCCACAUCCUAACCCCCAAAACGUGUGAAUGUGGUCAAGCCCGUGACAAAAGGGACUUAAGGUUUCCAACUCAAUUAAAUGGCCGGGAGCUGGAAAGCCCAUCCUAGGGCAUCCCAGAGGGCUCGAACUAGUCUCAUGGGCCUUUCCCAGGUGUGUGAGAGGCAGCUGUGACACAGAAGCAUUGUCUACUAGCUACCUAUGCACCUGAGCCCAGCUCAAAAGGGAAUGUGCAAGCGUGAGCAGCCCUGUCACUCCCAGAGCUGGGAAGGCCACACACGCAAGUGACCGCAAGACUGAGUUGAAGGAAGAGUGCCCCUUGGGUGGAAGACAGCUGAUGGUGUUGGGGCUUAGCGGGGCAGGGGACACACAGGGCUGCAUCGAGCAGGCACCAGCGUCCUUGGGCUCCUCAGCCUGAGCCACGUCUUAGCUUUCGCUCCAGUAAGUCAAUGUGAUCUUCACACGACGCGGUGCAGGGGUUGCCUCCCUGGAGAUGAGACGAGAGGUGGCGGAGAUGGGAAAGUAUAAACUCGAGGAGGGGGUGCUUGGUGUUAUUGGGGAAAAGCACUGGAGGGGGAUGGACUCUGCACACAUGCAGGGCCUCCCUGGCUGCCGCGGAGCCUCCGCGUGGAGGGGCCUGCGUGGCUGGGGUCUGAGAAACAAUUCCGCGGAGGCUACCAGACAGGAGACUGCCAGGUGUGGUGGCUUCUUGGCUAUCUCCAAUCGUGGCCCCGUUAGACGUGGAGGCUUUGUCCACUUACAGAAUACCCUGGGCUGCUGGCUCACAAGCUUCUAGGAUUUAUUAGUCACAGGUUUGGACGCUGAAAAAUCCAUGAACAGGUUCCCGGUGAGUUCAAGGUCUGACGAUUGCCCACUUCCACGAAGCCAUCUCCCCUGCUGCGUCCUCACGUGACGCAGGGGGAGAACUUUGACCUCUGCCCCUCAGCAGGGCACCAUCGGAGCCCAUGGGGGCUCCCCCACCAGGACCUGCCCCCCAAAAGACCCCACCUCCCAAUGCCAGCACCCCAGGAGUCACCAUUUCAACUUACUACAGCACACAGCCAUGAAGACGGGUUAGUUCUUUCCUACCCAUAAGAGAACAAUACUUUCUCAAUUUUCUGGAGAAAACUUUCCAUAAAACAAUGACAUUAGAUCUCUUGAAAUCCCAUUUUAAAAGAUUGUCAGAAUUAAAGGGAAUUAAAGAAUCUAAAAAGUUCAACUUCUAACUAUUCAUGUAGGUGAUGCUAAUGACCUUGGCAAACUGUCUUUAUUUUUUAAUGCCAAUACCCAGGGCCUGAGUAUUUCGCUUUUAAGGAUCCUUGAUGAUAGCUCAUCAUGCUUGGUGAUUAACAAGAGUCCAAGUAGGAAUACAAACUUUGGGAACAAAGGUUGUUUUUCUGAGAUACCAAUAUGCAGGUGAGAUAAAGAUCAAGAAAUGUGUUCAUUUCUAUGUACAUAUUUUCUCUCUAUAAACACACACACAUACAUAUAUGUAUAUUCAGUACAGAAACCAGUUUUCUAGACUACUUGGUGGCCUUGCAUUGAAAUGACAGAGUCUGGUUAACUGCAUUCAUUGUGAACUGUAAAAACUGAAUCACUUAAGCGAACAAGAAUAUGCUUCUCUUUCACAUAAACCCUGGGUAUUCUUGGUUACAAAGUGCAAUGGCUACCAGCUCGGCUGGCUUCCUGAAGGAGACGGGGACUCUUCAGAGCAAGCCUGGUUCUCCAGGGGGAGACCCGGCUGCACCUCUGGGGGCCGCUCUGAGAGGCUGAUGCCACCAGAUCGACCUGGGAUGCCACAAUCUGGUUGUGUGCUCUCUGUACCUUGCCUGGAAAGGAGUUGAUGGGCGAGUGGAAUCAUCUUUAAGAGAGGACUUUGGAGCCAAUAUAAAGUUAGCUGUCUAAUAGCGGCUGCCGUGUGAUCACUGACAGGCUUCUUAGAUGAGGUAGCCUGGGCAGGCACCCUGGCGCCGUGGGAUAAGCCACCGUCUGCAGCGCUGGCAUCCCAUAUGGAGGCUGGUUUGAGUCCCGGCUGCUCCACUUCUGAUCCAGCGCCCUGCUAAUGCAUCUGGGGAAGCAGCAGAGGAUGGACCAAGUGCUUGGGCCCCUGCACCCGCACGGGAGACUCAGAAGAAGCUCCUGGCUCCUGGCUUCAGCCUGGCCCAGGCUAGGCCAUUGCAGCCAUUUGUGGAGUGAACCAGCAGAUGGAAGACCUCCUUCUGUCUCUCCCUCUCUCUCUCUGUAACUCUGUCUUUGAAAUAAAUAAAUCUUUUUUUCUAAAUAAAAAAAAAAUAGCCCAAAGGAUUCAACAAAAACUUUUCUGCCAACCUGAGAUUUGGAAAGUGAAUUUUGGGUAAGAAAUCAAAUCAACAAAAAUAAAACAUAAUUUAAAGACAUUUCUGCCUACAUCACCGAUCCCCAACAGAAAAACAGUGUGUGGAGUUAUUCUGGAGUGAGCUGAGUCACCUCAUGUCAGAAGCCAGUGCACAGUCAAGGGUUACAAAGUGUCACGAGUGAGCUGAGUCACCUCAUGUCAGAAGCCAGUGCACAGUCAAGGGUUACAAAGUGUCAUGGUGUCAUCACUGGGUCCUCCAAAAGUCACAUGUUGCUAUUUAUUUAUUUUCAUUGAAAGGCAGAAUGAUACAGAGAGAGAGGGAGAGAGAAUGUGAGCGAGCGAGCUUCCAUUUUCUGGUUGAUUCUCCCAAUGCUCACAGUGGCUAGGGCUGGGCCAGGCCAAAGCCUGAGAGCCCCAGACUCCACCUGGGUCUCUACAUGGGUAGAGGGACCCAAGCACUUCAGCCAUCAUCUUUUGCCUCCAAGUAUAUGCAUUAGCAGGAAGCCAGAGAGGAAGUGGAGGUGCCAGGAGUCGAACCAACACUCCAGUGUGGGAUGUGGGUGCCCCAGCUGACAGGCCACCUGCUGCACCACAACACCUGCCCCCCAUGUGUUGGAAGCUAACAUCCAAUGUCACUAGGAGGUGGUCCUUCUGGGACCAUUCUGAUGAAUGGAACCUGGGCCUUGAUAAAAGGGAGCUUUGCUGCCCGUCCACCGUGUGAGAAUGAAGCAAGAAACUGCUGUGGCCAAGCCCUUGCCAGACAGCGGAUCUGCUGUGCCUCUCACUUCCCAGCCUCCAGAACUGUGAGCAGCACCUCUCUGUCACUCACAGAUGACCCAGCCUAAGGCCUGGGUGCACUGAGUUUUCAAGCAGAAAUCGGUCAAGUCUUGGGGCAGGCGUAGACCAAUGCUGGGAAGCUGUGGGGAGGGAAGGGGAAUGUGGGGCGGAGAGCAGAGAGCGAGGCAGUCCCACGGCAGGGCGCUGGGCAGCACAACGCAGGCCUCUGAGCCUCUGCACCCAUCGUGGUUCAGUCGGGAACGACAUCAAGAACCGGGACCCCAGCGUCCCGUCCUCUACUUUGGAGCGAGUCACAGCGGCGGGAGCCUGAGUGCUCGCGUCUGCUGAAUGAGAGGAUCGGGCCCAGGUGACACUGCCGUUCUCUGUCAGUUCAUAACCAUUUUAUGCCAUUGUGCAGUCUGGUUGGGUUAUGCACUGGUCAGCUAGUACUGCCGUGAUGAAGCGUAACACACACCCCUCAAAUAUGAAAAAAAAUUCUUGCUCACGAGUUUGCUGCCUGGCUGGGCAGUGGCCAGCCUCGGCUUGCCGGGGCUGGGCUUGUCACUAGGCGUCAGACUGGGCUGUGUCGGCUCCUCUGGGUCUCUCCUCGGGCCAGUAGGUACACCGGGUUGUCUUUCUCAGGGGAGAUCACGGCAGUGACCGGGCAAGCCGAGCCACAAAGGGCAUCCCAAGCCUCUGUCCUAGAUUCUCUGCUGGCUCACCCUUGGCCGCCAGUCCCAGCCCAGGAUCAAGGUCCAUAGCCCUGAGACGUGCAUGCCCUGGCUGUGGGAGCUGCCCACGCCAGAGAGCAAUGGCGGAUCCACCACGGUUGGGUCUCCUGAGUCUCGCGGCUUAGUCACUGAUCCUCCCGGAGGCUGGUUGGAUGUACCUGAAAGUUGAGAAAGCCCAGAGCAGCCCCUGUAGAUCUUGAAAAGGCCAGGGGGAGGAAGAGAAGACGGAGCAGAGUUUUUCCUCUACUGCUGUGUGCCGUCUCCCACCUCAAGGAGAUCGCGUUGCACAAAGUCGAGAUAUGAAUGUGUUCUUUUAUAAAGUGUUGGAUACGGAGACACAGGCUAAUAAAGAUAGCAUCAUCAUGAUGCCAGUGUGCUGAGACCAAUGCUGUACCCGUUUUGGUUUCCCAUCCAGACUGUUUCUACACAUAUGUAUAUCAGUGUAUGAGAGUAUGUCAAAAAGUCAUGGAAACUGAACUUAAAAGAUAAGUAGUAGUGUGAUGCAAAAAUUCUUGAAAUAUAUGCCCAAGAGGAUCUUCAAGAAGUUCACAGGAAAUGCCUAUUUUGAAAAACCUUCAUGGAUUACAAAAUUUCUUGCAACAAAAUAAACUUUUUUUAAAAGAUUUAUUUUAUUUACUUGAAAGUCAGAGUUACACAGAGAG